UGUGGCUCAGGUCACUGCUGUGGUAUGGGUUCAAGGCCUGGCCCUGGAAUUUACAUAUAUACAUGUCAUGGGAAUGGCCAACAAAAAACCAAAAAAGCCCAGAUGUGUGGAACAGUCAUUGGUCCUGGGCUGAAUGGUGCCUUCGUGUGUAUCUGCCUAUGGUCGGAAAUGAAUUAGACGCGUAAAUAAAAUACAGGACGAAAUCAGAGCAGACCAAGUGGGAACCAUCCAAGAUAAGGUUUUACGAAUUACAGAGUAAGAUGAACACGCUUAUGUAGAAUCGUGGACUGUUUAGAGCAACAAAACCAAAGUUCUCACCUCUGGGAAUAAGAAGCAUCGUUUUAUUGUGUGUUGGAGCUGAGUUCAUGUGUGUUCCCUGUAUUUAAAAAAAAAAAAGUAAAAACGAGAAAAGGGACAAGUAGGAAACAAAGAGGAGAUUACAUCUGGAAUCAAAGCUAAUUAUGGCUUCAGUUCUGAGCCCAUUAGGAAAAAGAUCUGGGCUGGUCCUUCUGUGAGGAGAGCAGCAGAGAGACAGAUGCUUGUCAUGGUCAUUAGUCUUGUUUCUGAUUAGGGUGGUGAAUUCAUGCAUGUUGAUUGUAAUAAAUAACAUGAUUAAACGAAAAAAUAUGCCCAGUGAGCGCUGUGCCUGGGCCGGCAGUGAGUCUGUGUCUUGAAGCAAAGGUUGUGAUUUAUCCUGGGUUGCGCAGCCGUUGGCUGUUAGCAAACAUCUAGGUUGAUUCAUCCUUUUUAACAUCUGCCUUGUGUCCCACAGAACGGAGGCCCCAGAGUGGGUCCCCUGACAUGCCGCUGGUGAAGACCGUGGCCGUGACCUCUGUGGGAAACGAGCCAUGGACCAACCAACGUUAUUACAGAAUAUUGAGUCGAUCUCCUUGUGCUAUACAGAAAGAUUCAAAAAGGACCAAGAAUGGCGAUGGGGAGUGUGGAGUUGCAUGAAGACUAUUGGCUGAUCCUUGUGCCACCAGCGAGGUCCCCUGUAGAAAGAUUCUAUUAGGUCUGAGAGAAAUGAACAAAAAUCACAGAUUCAACAUACCCAAUCUGAUUGAUUCAGUGAUGAAGCUGUCAGCUGUCAGUAUCCGUGGAUACACAGCCAAGGGACUCACGUAAGGAACAGAUUUUUGUUUCAAAGGAACGAGUGGCUACUGCAACCGUAAAGUCAGAGGAGGCCUCCUGUGGAUCAUUAAUGAAAAUGUGAAAUGAACCACCGGUUGGGAUUAAUCCCUUUCAGUGCAACCGAGAUCCAUUCAAACCCCAUCGGAGGGUUUUACAUUCAUUUUCACAGUUGCUUAAUAUUCUGUUGCAUUUUUGCACCGCAUUUUAAGAGUAUUUCUCUAUUGAUAACAAUAACUCAUUGAGGAAGGAGCACCCGGGAAGAGAGACAGUGCUUUAGUGUUCUAGUUAUGGGGGUAAAUGGUAGGUUCGUUAUACUAUUUUUAAAAUACAAAGAAAUUCAAUGAAAGAUGAGCAAGCAGACAGUCGUAAAAUACAUGGCCCAUGUACGAAGCAAGGUUAUUGAUUAAUCUAUAUGUGAAACACUGAGAUCCAAUUAAACAGAGAUCUCAUUUGCUAGCUCUAUGGGAAAUAAAUGGUUGUCACCUGCUCUCUGCAAUAUUCAAAGAUCUUGCUCUUGGGUUUUUGUGAUUCAUGGAAAUUAAAUUUUUUUUAACAUCAGUGAAGCCAUGAAUGAAAGAAUCAAUAAAUAAUGUACAAACAAUCCCUAAACAAUGUAUAAAUAAGUACACGGAGAAAGAAUGUGGAGCUUGGAUCAAUGAUGAGAGUUCUGGGGUAUAUGAAUCAAGAACUUUGAUUAAACCCUAACUCUGAGAUCCAAUAGAAGGAGACUUUGUUCUUCCCUCUAAGGGAACAGAGUUCAGAGGAGAAGUUCAAGCCAGUUGGGGAGCUGUUGUUGGGUCUCUGUGGGUCCUGAGUAUGGAGUGUGUUGAUGCACGUGAAUGAACAUGUGUGUAAGUGAGUGAAGACAGCAAGGGUCGCACAUGAGUGAUUUAGGCGAGUGUCGUGAAACAAGUAUUCUUAGUCACAUGUUUACUUAGCACAGAGUUCCCGUGUGAUCGUGGGUCAAAGCUGUUACCCCCUUUGAAACACAGUAGCAACUCCAGAUACACAGGAGCGCACAGGCAGGUGCGACUUAGUGUCCAGGUUGGCAUGCUGGGCCGGUGGGAGCGUAUGUUGAUUCUCAGGUAAUUAUUUAUUGUUAUAAGGUAUAGGAUGAAGAUGAUUUUUAUCUCAAAUGAUUCUGAAAAAGAGGGCAGACGCUGAAGAGUAUGGCGCCUAUGAGGUGGAGGAAGAUUAAUGACUGAUCCUGUUCCACCCUCCUGAGGGCCAUAUAACAAGAUGGGACCUAGUUUCUCCCUGCUUCGAUUAAGUACAUGGAGAUAUGCCAGAAUGACCCCAGGACAGCACAUUUACUCAUUUUCUAAGGAACAAAAUCUUAGCAGUUAGCUCUGUGGCUUAAGAACAGAGAGAAAUUUAAGUAAGUAAGUCUCAAAUUUCCCAUUCUUGGUUAGGAUUUUUUUUUUUUUCACGAACAUUUAGUGGUAUUUCAAAAGAAUCAAUUCUAUCAAAGAAAUUAAAAUCCCAUAUAUGGAUCAAUGAUGGGAAUAUGUUAUGAAUCAAAAAUCAUGUUUGCACAGCCUCGUAAGUUAACUAUACUUCAAUGAAACUUAAGUUCUUUUUUUUUUUUGUCUUUUUAGGGCCACACCCAUGGCAUAUGGAGGUUCCCAGGCUAGGGGUCAAAUCAGAGCUACAGCUGCCAGUCUACACCACCACCACAGCAACACAGGAUCCGAGCCGCAUCUGAGAUCUACACCACCGCUCACGGCAACACCGGAUCCUUAACCCGCUGAGUGGUGCCAGGGAUCGAACCUGCGUCCUCAUGGAUGCUGGUCAGAUUUGUUUCCACUGAGCCAUGGCGGGAACUCCGUACUUCAAUAAAACUUAAAAAGAUCAUUUUUAGUUCAGCACAGCAGAGGCGGGAUUUCAGAAAGACAAUGGUCAUUUCUUUUAUUUUUAGACCCAUCAAGUAUUACAUUUUAUGUUCCUCUGCAAAUGACCAACAUUCCCAUAUUGGUGUAGCGCCGGCUGGCUGGUAAUUGUUUGUGUUGCAGGCCACCAGCCAGCGGAAGACGUUGUGUUUGAAAAGUGAUUAAAGAUGGUGGUUUCCUUUGCGGUACAGCAGCAGAAAUCCAUAGAACACUGUAAAUCAACUGUCCUUUAACAAAACAAAUUCUGGAAAGAUAGAGGUUUCAUCGCUUUUCAUUGAAACAUCUUUAAAACACGGGCACGUUGGGGUGAGGAGAUGCAAACUUUUGCAUUUGGGGUGGAGAAGCAAUGAGAUCCUGCUGUACAGCUUAUGGAACUAGAUCCAGUCGCUUGUGAUGGAACAGGAUGGAAGCUAAUGUGCGAAAAAGAACGUAUAUAUAUGUAUAACUGGGCCACUUUGCUGUACAGCAGAAAGGGGCAGAACAUUGUAAAUCAACUGUAAUAACAAAAUGGGCAAGUGAAUUAACAGAAAGCCGCAGAAGGGCCAAGGAUGAAUGUGGCUUUGGUAAGAAGGAUGGAUGUUAUUUGAUCAAACAUGUUCGCUGAGGUCCAUUUUAUAAAAGGAGGUAUUGUUGCUGGAGUUUUAUGAUUACAUUGUUCUUGGUGGAUCAGGUAACAAGUCAGUAAGUGAAGAGGUAAAGGCAGAAAACCACGUGUCUGGAUCGAUGAUGAGUACCAUGGGGUAUCUGAAACGGGAGUUUUGAUUAAACCCAUGUGGAAUUCUGAGGUCCUGUUACAGAGACACGCAGCGAAACCCUUCCCUCUGUGGGACCUGAGUGCAGAGUGCAUCGUGCUUCCACCUUUGUGGUUGUUAUGGAUGGGCUGUCUUUUUAGUAUAAAGUUGACUCAUAAAUAAAUAAAAUGUAUUAAUCUGUGAAAAAUAUCCUAAGUCUGCUGCCUAUGAUUAAGAAAUGUGAUGGAACAGGGAUUAUGAUUAAAAUCUAGUUGAGAGUCUGUCCCCCAUAAAUUAGUCGUAAAGGCUCUUCCUGCUCCGGAAAGGAGUAUACGGUCAUUUGUAUCUAACAGGUUUUGAUCCGUGUGGGUGGGGGGUGGUUACUAAGGAAAUGGAAAUACAUAUACUUGUAUAAAUAGUUGUUUAGGUGACCCCAUCCUCGAGAGCCCAACAAAGACCAGUGAUGAGAAGGUUUUGCAAGACAAUACUUCUAAUUAAGCCAAUCCUUUGUUCCCCACUGAAUUUUAUUAAAACAAUAAGACUAGAAGGAAGUCUGUUAUUUUCAAAGGCAGUGACUAUUGAUGGACAUACAUUUCGUUAAAAGUGUUCUUGUGUAGUGGAUGGUCAUAGGUGCACAUAUAUUUGUAUAAGAGGAAGAAGGUAUAAUUUUAUACCUCAGUGUAUUUUCGGAAAGUCAGCAAGCCACAGACCAGUUCAGGACACAUGUUUUGAGAGGAGGACACGGAUUCAUCUUGUUUUCCGAGACAGAUAUUCGAGGAAACAUCCUCAGCGCUUCCAUUUUUUGGAAGGUGUGCCUGAACCUUUCCAAGUUCCAGCAACAUCAUUACGGGUUGGUAUUUAACCAUUUUGAGUUUUCCUUAGAAAAAUAAAGACAUGGUGUUAUUAUUCCCUGAAUAACAAAAUAAAUCAGUAAAUGACAGAAUCCAUAAAUCUGUAUGUGGAGAACUGGUGGUAUUGUCCUAUGAAAUAAGUAUGUCCACUUCUGCACAAAGAAGUCCAAUAAGAUGAUGUGGGCUCUCUCUGUGGGCAUAGCCGGUAAAGUCAGAUGUCUCUAAUUGUGGUUUUUAUUUUGGGUGGCGCAGUAAAUUCAGUGGUGGUCCCAGUAUUUAAUAGGAAAGAGUAAGUAAACAAAAGAGUGCCAUUCUUAGGGAAAUGAGGAGAAAGUGAUAGGAAGCAGCGUUUCCUAUUCAUCUAGUCCUCUUGACAAAUUUCGGCUUUAAAUAACUAUUGUUUUUAAUAAUAGGCUUUCUUUUUCCUUUGGAGUGCAAACACAGCAAGCUGAUCUGAUCCUUCUCUGACUGGGAAGACCCUGACUAUUCUGGGACUUAGGAGAUUAAAGGCCAAGGUGAGGAAGCAUCAGUGUUGGUGUUAUUACACCUGCUUUACCAUAAGGACAAAUCAGGCAAAAGGCAGAAGAGCAGGUGGACGCUAAUGGUAAGUAAGAGGUUUCUAUGGGGCUGGUGAGCUGAUGAAUCCCUAUGUGUAAAACAGCCUUUUUGUGAAAGGCCACCGAGUCUGUUUGCUCUAUGUGGAUGGGGCAAUGAACAGACCUUGGUUGUAUUCAAGGCUUUUGUUCUCGGUUUUGUGUCAUCAAAUGUUAUUGAUUGUGUCAUUAUUAUUUGUAAAUCCAUAAAUGCAUUGAUCAGUUCAAGAAGGCGUACGUGGAGGAAGAGAUAAAAAGCCAUGUCUGGAUCAAUGAUGCGUCUUGGUGGAGGUAUCUGAAUCCAUAACUUUGAUUACGCCCUCAGUGUAGCUCUGGGGUCCAUUAUAGAAAGAGAACCAGUCCAUACUCUCUGUAGAAAUUAGCUAGUAGAAGUUAGGAAAAUUCAAUACACUUGUUUCUGGGCUCUUACGGUUCUUGGAUAUGGACGGUAUUAUUUCGAGUGAAUCAGUGCAUGACUGAAAAAAAAAAUGUAGGCGCUCCUGUUGUGGCUCAGUGGGUUGAGAACCUGACAUAGUGUCUGUGGGGACGCAGGUUUGAUCCCUGGCCUCGCUCAGUGGGUUAAGGAUCUGCCGUUGCCAUAAACUUCGGUGUAGGUUGAAGAUGUGGCUUGGACCUGGUGGUGUUGUGGCAGUGGUGUAGGCUGGCAGUUCCAGCUUUGAUUUAACCCCUGGCCUGAGAACUUCCAUGUGGUGCAGGUGCGGCCUUAAAAAAAUUAAAUAAAAAUAGGAUUUCUUUAUUUAAAAAAAGAGAAAGAAAUGUGUAUCUGAAAAACUAAGAGGCCUACUCAUGGAACAAUUAGUAGAGCACUAUAAUUAAAUAAGUAUUAAUAUUAAUACAUUUCUGCCGUGAAAUGAACAGGUUUAGCCUGUAAUCCUCUUUCACAUGGAACAUAUUUGUAUCUGUAGUUAAGAGGCAUUGUUUUGAAUUUUGGUAGUUUGGUAUUUUUUUUUAAGUUAAGAAAAGGAAAAGUGGGAGUUCCCAUCCUGGCGCAGUGGAAAUGAAUCCGACCAGGAACCAUGAGGUUGUGGGUUUGAUCCCUGGUCUUGCUCGGUGGCUUGAAUCCCAUGAUGCUGUGGCGUAGGCCAGCAGGUGUAACUCGAAUUUGACCCCUAGCCUGGGAAUCUCCAUAUGCCG
rnacentral:lncRNA from 1 species